rnacentral:lncRNA from 1 species
CCCACAUAUUACCUACUUAUUUGCUGUAAUGAACAUGUCAUUCAGCUAAAAUAAGAUUAACUGCUUAAACGGUGGCAUUACAGGCAGAGAAUGUUAAUGCUGCUUUGUGUUUCCUUGUUAAGGUUCAGCAGUUAAAUGAUACGGUGUUGUCGUUUCUUCCUUUGUAAUCAAGAUGGUUUCACUGAGGAUUAGCACUCCCCAGCCGAUUCCCCUGAUGGAACAUUUGAAGCAGCAAAUUUCUAUACCUGGGCCACCGCCAGGCAGCAAUAACAACCUUCAGAAGCAAACCUGUUGGUCUCGUCAGCACUCAGAUUGCACUGCUUUUUGUGAAGCCCCCGUGUGCUCUAAUGGUGAUGGAGAUCUCGCCUGCCAUGCAGACCACGGAAGGAAAAUUGGAGGGAGCUUGGGUGUGCGUCUGGAGAAUAGCACUGUGAUGCCUCAGUUCAGACCUGUUUUGAUUACAAGUGACAGAAACCCAACUCAAACUAGCUGAAGCAUAAAAGGAGAUUUAUUGGAUUACAUAACUGGGAAGUCCAGGAAUUGAUCUAACUUCCAGUUUGACUAGACUCAGGAGCUCAAAGGAGGGUACCAUCUGCACCCUCUACCCUCUUGUCCAUGUUGUCUUCAUGCUUCCCCACUGCACACGGUGUCCU